AUAUCUCAAGCAUGUUCAUGGCUUCAAACUUCCCCCUAACUAAAUAGGGGUUUAGCCUUCAUAGUUGCAACAAAAUCAGAAAAUAACAAAGUAGACAUUGAAAGCAAGAACGAAGUACACCUAAAACGCUCCAAUCUUCAAGCUUGAAACACCAAGGACCUUCUUUUUCACCACCUUGUUGCGGCACAAGAAAGGGGAGUGGCUAAAUG
rnacentral:lncRNA from 1 species